rnacentral:rRNA from 1 species
GACGGAGGAUGCAAGCGUUAUCCGGAAUGAUUGGGCGUAAAGCGUCCGCAGGUGGCAGUUCAAGUCUGCUGUCAAAGACCGGGGCUUAACUUCGGAAAGGCAGUGGAAACUGAACAGCUAGAGUAUGGUAGGGGCAGAGGGAAUUCCUGGUGUAGCGGUGAAAUGCGUAGAUAUCUGGAGGAACACCGGUGGCGAAGGCGGCAUCCUGGACCGGCAUUGACGCUGAGGCGCGAAAGCUAGGGGAGCAAACGGG